rnacentral:SRP_RNA from 1 species
UGAGAGGUUGAUUUGGACAAGUAAUUCGCCAAUCCGGUCAGGUCUGAAAGGAAGCAGCCGUAACGAACCUGCUUGGGUCANUAUCAAUCUCUCGCUU